CAGUUUUCUAAAAAGGAAAAGAACUAUGUGUUACUCCAUUUCUGACGAUGGGGAGGAGUAUGAAGAAUCCAACAGUUUUCUAAAAAGGAAAAGAACUAUGUGUUACUCCAUUUCUGACGAUGAGGAGGAGUAUGAAGAAUCCAACAGCAUCAUUUUUAAAGUGAAGAAGCCGUUAAGGACAUACUCCAGGUAUUU